GACGAACGCUGGCGGCGUGCUUAACACAUGCAAGUCGAGCGGUAAGGCCCUUCCGGGGGUACACGAGCGGCGAACGGGUGAGUAACACGUGGGUGACCUGCCCUCAGCUCUGGGAUAAGCCUGGGGAACCGGGUCUAAUACCGGAUAUGACUCCAUGACGCAUGUUGUGGGGUGGAAAGCCUUGUGCGGCUGAGGAUGGGCCCGCGGCCUAUCAGCUUGUUGGUGGGGUGAUGGCCUACCAAGGCGACGACGGGUAGCCGGCCUGAGAGGGCGACCGGCCACACUGGGACUGAGACACGGCCCAGACUCCUACGGGAGGCAGCAGUGGGGAAUCUUGCGCAAUGGGCGAAAGCCUGACGCAGCGACGCCGCGUGAGGGAUGACGGCCU
rnacentral:rRNA from 1 species